UUAGAGCACAGCUUCACCUUCUUCCAUCCACAGUCUACAGGGGGAGAUCAGAGCUGGCGUCUGGUAACUCGUGCGGCUGCGAAGAGUUCAUCCUUCUUUCCUGAGCCACAUGGCAGCCUGGCAUCUCGUUGUCGUUAGUCACUGGAAAGAUGCAUGGGUCAUGACUCCGCCAAGUCGUUUGGUGACACGAUUCUCCUCCGUACGUUUGCUUGUAAGCCCCAGCUAUCAUUAACAACGGGAGCAUGUCCAGAAAUGAUGACCGUGAUGCCUAAAAGAGAGAUGGGUGGAGCUCUGGCGAAGUUCCCUGGGACCCUGAUCACUCCCUUCCUCAUUCGGCAUCUUCACCCACAGGCAGUGGAUCCAGGAUCCUGUGUGCUGUGGAACUGCUGUCUCUCAUCAGCUUCCUGUAGCCUAUGAAAAGUUUGGUAAGUAUGUUCCGAAGGGAAAAUCGGCCUUUCCCAUUGUGGCAGUGGUUAGCAAUGGGGAAGGCAAUGGCCACUGUUUUGGUUGACGCACAACUCCCAGGCACUGCUUUUGUGCUGUGCGUGGAAGCGCUGGCGUAGUAGAAAGGCCUUGCCGAGUCGGGCUGUCCUAUAUCACCCACGAGGACUGCCAGGAAGGGUGCAAGGCUCCCGUGGAGCCGGAGCUGUUGAGGUCGUUCUACUCAGAUUGUGUUUGCAGCUUCAUUCCCGUUAGACUUCGUGCGACACCACUGGCAUCCAGGGCUCCCUGUGACGAGCACAGCUUCAGCCUGCAGGAGCCAGCAGAGCCACGGCCGGAGUGGCCGUGCCCCUCCCGGGGAAGCUUCUCCCGGGCCUUCUCCCCACCAGUGCGGGAUGCCCGGCCUUGCGGCUGUCCACUGUCCAAGGCCACACGGUGGAGAGCCCUGCUGUGCAGAGCAGCCGGCUCCCAGGAGAGCCCUGUCACCACCGGGCGCACCCCCAGCACAGCCAGACGCCCAAAGAGCAGGCGGCGGGUGCCCCAGGCGGAUCCGCUGCCUCGGGCAGUGCUCGGCAGUGCCUGGGGAGCAGCUCCGGGCGCAGCCGGUUUCCUCCUCUCCCCAACACUGCACCCUCAAGGAAAGCCCUUCUGCUCUCCACGUGAACUGUUACCACCGAGGCUCGGCGACGGUUGAACGUGAGCAGAUUGAUUAGGUAGAUGGCUUAGCACACAGCCUGGGCUGC